UUGAAUCCUCAGGAUGUCGCUGGCCGCCCCAAAAGGGCUGGCAUGUGCACUCCGCCUUCAACACCCACCUGUGCACUUAUCGUAGGUCAAAGAGGGGAAACCCCUUUGCCUAUGCUUUUUUUACACACACUAUUAGUAUCAGAAUGUAACAAAGUAGACCUUCAGGUCGAAGUAACAAUA
rnacentral:misc_RNA from 1 species